rnacentral:snRNA from 1 species
UUGCUUUGGCAACAUUAUUAAAAUUAGAAAGAUACAGAGAAAAUUAGCAUGGUUUCUGCACUAGGAUGACACACAAAUUUGUGAAGGAUUCCAUUAUUUU